UAUAUUGAAUGGCAUCAUUCGAUAUUGAAAACUCCGGUGGAUAGAGAUGGGCACGCGCAAGAUUAGAUAGUUGGUGAGGUAACGGCUCACCAAGUCUGCGAUCUUUAGGGGGCCUGAGAGGGUGAUCCCCCACACUGGUACUGAGACACGGACCAGACUCCUACGGGAGGCAGCAGUGAGGAAUAUUGGACAAUGGGUGAGAGCCUGAUCCAGCCAUCCCGCGUGAAGGACGACGGCCCUAUGGGUUGUAAACUUCUUUUGUAUAGGGAUAAACCUAGAUACGUGUAUCUAGCUGAAGGUACUAUACGAAUAAGCACCGGCUAACUCCGUGCCAGCAGCCGCGGUAAUACGGAGGGUGCAAGCGUUAUCCGGAUUUAUUGGGUUUAAAGGGUCCGUAGGCGGAUCUGUAAGUCAGUGGUGAAAUCUCACAGCUUAACUGUGAAACUGCCAUUGAUACUGCAGGUCUUGAGUGUUGUUGAAGUAGCUGGAAUAAGUAGUGUAGCGGUGAAAUGCAUAGAUAUUACUUAGAACACCAAUUGCGAAGGCAGGUUACUAAGCAACAACUGACGCUGAUGGACGAAAGCGUGGGGAGCGAACAGGAUUAGAUACCCUGGUAGUCCACGCCGUAAACGAUGCUAACUCGUUUUUUGGGAUUUAGGUUUCAGAGACUAAGCGAAAGUGAUAAGUUAGCCACCUGGGGAGUACGUUCGCAAGAAUGAAACUCAAAGGAAUUGACGGGGGCCCGCACAAGCGGUGGAUUAUGUGGUUUAAUUCGAUGAUACGCGAGGAACCUUACCAAGGCUUAAAUGGGAAAUGACAGGUUUAGAAAUAGACUUUUCUUCGGACAUUUUUCAAGGUGCUGCAUGGUUGUCGUCAGCUCGUGCCGUGAGGUGUUAGGUUAAGUCCUGCAACGAGCGCAACCCCUGUCACUAGUUGCCAUCAUUAAGUUGGGGACUCUAGUGAGACUGCCUACGCAAGUAGAGAGGAAGGUGGGGAUGACGUCAAAUCAUCACGGCCCUUACGCCUUGGGCCACACACGUAAUACAAUGGCCAGUACAGAGGGCAGCUACACAGCGAUGUGAUGCAAAUCUCGAAAGCUGGUCUCAGUUCGGAUUGGAGUCUGCAA
rnacentral:rRNA from 1 species